rnacentral:rRNA from 1 species
AUGGAUGAGGAGUACUACAUGUUUCGCGACGAAGGAUACGAUAAUGACACCUUGGAGGAUGAAGAGGAAGCGAUCAUGUCGUCUGCUAUACCUAGCGAGGUUGAUCCAUUAGACAAAAACAUCCCAGACACGACUCACAUCCUGAAGCUCGACGCAAACUGCAAACACUGUAAGGCAAAAAAAAUUGUGUCUGAGACUGACGGCUUCUGCUGUCGCAAUGGCCAGAUCGAACUUAAACAACCUGAGCCAAUCCCAGAGCUGAUGAGGCUAUGGUCAAGCAUGGAUGCAGAUUCUAGACAUUUUCGGGAAAAUAUACGCUUCUUCAACGGGCAUUCCGCCUUCACAACCCUUGGCGUCAGCCUUGAUGAGAACUACACAAACAUGAAGUCUGGGGUGUACACAUUCCGGGCACACGGCACCAUCUACCACAAUGUGCAUUCGUUCGGGCCUAGCUCCCGUCCUGAGCAUCUGCAGUUAUACUUCUAUGAUGAUGACCCAACCCAUCACUCAUCGUAA